CAAAUCAAAUGCAUCAAAAUCCCUGAUUUCAGCACGAUAAUGUUCAAUAUCAGUGCAGCUUUUUGCAUAUUCUUCGAUGGCACCAAUAUCAACACUAAAAUAUUCAAGGUCAGAGUCUUGUUGCAAGCAAAAGAUGGUUUUUACUCCUAUUUUCCGAAGCUUGUCGACGUCUGAUGGGUUCUGUAGGCAGGAGCCAACGAUUAAGUCUGGACGAAUAAAAUUGUAAUUCAUUCCUAGUUCAUGCUUGUAUGUCAACACUGCACCCAUUGCUUCUGUCAUAUUAGUACUGUAUGUUUCAGAUUUCUCUUCCUGUAUAUCAGUACCGUGCUUUUCAAUGCUAGAAGAACCGGACUGUACAUUGACGAUCAUCGCUGGACGCCGAAUCGCUCCAAUCAUCCUCGAGUUCGGGAUUAGGGCUUUUCUUGGCCGGCUCCGGAGGACUUGCGGCGGGAGGAGAGAGGACGGGAGAUUCAGAAUGCAGUUCAUGGCAGGAUUCGGAGGUGGAAUUGUGGAGCGGAG
rnacentral:misc_RNA from 1 species